rnacentral:rRNA from 1 species
UCGGGAAUUUUGCUCAAUGGGGGAAACCCUGAAGCAGCAACGCCGCGUGAGGGAUGAAGGCCUUCGGGUUGUAAACCUCUUUUCUCAGGGACGAUAAUGACGGUACCUGAGGAAUAAGCCACGGCUAACUACGUGCCAGCAGCCGCGGUAAUACGUAGGUGGCAAGCGUUGUCCGGAUUUACUGGGCGUAAAGAGCGCGCAGGCGGCCAAGUAAGUCGAAUGUGAAAGCCCCCGGCUCAACUGGGGAAGGUCAUUCGAUACUGCCUGGCUUGAAGAUAGGAGAGGGAAGCGGAAUUUCCGGUGUAGUGGUGAAAUGCGUAGAUAUCGGAAGGAACACCAGUGGCGAAGGCGGCUUUCUGGCCUAUUCUUGACGCUGAGGCGCGAAAGCUAGGGGAGCGAACGGGAUUAGAUACCCCCGUAGUCC